rnacentral:SRP_RNA from 2 species
GCCAGGUGUGGUGGCGCACACCUGUUGUCCCAGCUACUCGGGAGGCUGAGGAGGGAAGAUCACUUGAGCCCAGGAGUUCGAGGCUGCAGUGAACUAUGUUUGCACCACUGCACUCCAGCCUGGGCAAUAGAGUGAGACUCUGUCUCAA